rnacentral:rRNA from 1 species
UACGGGGGGGGCAAGCGUUGUUCGGAAUUACUGGGCGUAAAGGGCUCGUAGGUGGCCAACUAAGUCGGACGUGAAAUCCCUCAGCUUAACUGGGGAACUGCGUCCGAUACUGGAUGGCUUGAGUUUGGGAGAGGGAUGCGGAAUUCCAGGUGUAGCGGUGAAAUGCGCAGAUAUCGGGAGGAACACCAAUUGCGAAGGCAGCUCGCUGGGACGUUACUGACGCUGAGACGCGAAAGCGUGGGGAGCAAACAGG